CAAAAAAAUCCAAAGAAAUGAUCAGUCUAUAAUUUUGUGUGUGUGUGUGUGUACAGUAUAUAACAUCCACCAGCUCUGUGAUGUUGUCAUGGAGGAAUGGAAGAGGACUCCAGUGGCAACCUGUGAAGCUCUGGUGAACUCCAUGCCCAAGAGGGUUAAGGCAGUGCUGGAAAAUAAUGGUGGCCACACAAAAUAUUGACACUUUGGGCCCAAUUUGGACAUUUUCACUUAGGGGUGUACUCACUUUUGUGGCCAGCGGUUUAGACAUUAAUGGCUGUGUGUUGAGUUAUUUUGAGGGUACAAGCUGUACAUUCACUACUUUACAUUGUAGCAAAGUGUCAUUUCUUCAGUGUUGUCACAUGAAGAGAUACACACACAUACAUAUAUACAUAUACACAUACAUACAUAUACACACACAUAUAUAUAUAUACAUAUAUACACAUACAUAUAUACAUACAUAUAUAUAUGCGUGUAUGUAUAUGUAGGGCUGUCAACGUUAACGCAUGAGAUUAAUCACAAUUUUAACGCGUUAAUAUUUUUUUAACGGAAAUUAAUCAUUUGAUAAGGUUUGACCCCAACUUCUUGCCGUCAUCGCAAGAACGGAAGGUCAUCUAUCAUUGUGUGAUAAGGGUACAGUGAACCAGUGUUGCCAGGGUCGCAGUUUUCCCGCACAAUUGGGCUAUUUUGAAAAUACAAUCGCGGGGAAAAUUACAGAGCCGUGGGUUGCGGUUUUUGGGGCCACUUUUAUAAUGUACCGCGGCCGCCCAAAAUGUAUAAAUAUAAAUUAAAAUAGAUCCUUUUACUAAUGUGUAUUAUACUUGGAAUGUAUCCCUGGCAACUUAAGAACGGAGAGGCAGUUGUAACAUCACAAACAACGCGAGUUUCAGCAGAGCAUACAUGUUACAUGUUAAGGCUUUUACACAGCAGAAAUAAACAUGACAACAGCCACUAUAAAUUAUAUAACAUAAUAAACACACAAUUACGAUAUGGUUUGUAUGUGAUUAUCUUGUACAGCAAUAAAAAAAAGGCUAUAAAUAGCAUAUUUUAACAACAGUAAAUGACCAAAUUCCACAUGUGAUCGCAAAAGGAAGUUAUUACAAACACUCGAUGGUGGUUUGAAGUGAGUUCUGAGUAAAAGUGUACUAUUAAUCUCAUAAAUUGUCUUGUGUAGCAUAAUGCUAAUGUUAGCUCUAAUGCAGCUGCAGAACAGGUCCAAUUCUUCUUUAUAAUGCAUUUUGUCAUAAUACUUCACGCAAGGUCACAAGAAAAUGUUUUGUUGUAUUUAUUUAGAAAUACUUCUGAUAAUAGUUGGGUAAAUGUAUACUGGGAUUGAAGCGAUGUGGCUUGGUAAACGUUUUAUUGCCAGUAUAAAGGCUGAUAAUGGCUGAAUAAAAACAAAAGAAUAAUAAGGUCAUACCUGGCGUAGGUGUAAAAGGUUCUGUUUCCUUAAACUAGCUUAUCGUGCAUUUCUUUAUUUCAAGAUAUUUACAGGUAAAUCCUAGUAUUUUAAAUUUGCGAUUAAUCGUGAUUAACGCGAUUAAAAAUUUUUAUAUACAUACAUAUACAUAUACAUACAUACAUACAUACACACAAAUAAUAUCUUUGGAUGUUUCUAUUCAUCAAAUAAUCCUAAAGAAUUUACUCAACUGUAUUAAAUAUUGAUAAUAAUAAUAAUAAUAAAACCUGUGACACUGAAGACUGGAGUAAUGAUGCUGAAAAUUUAGCUUUGAUCACAGGAAUAAAUUACAUUCUAAAAUAUGUUCAAAUAGAAAGCAGAUAUUUUAAACAGUAAAAAUAUUUCACAAUAAUACUGCUUUUGCUGUAUUUUGGAUCAAACUAAUCCAGGCUUGUUGAGAAGAAGAGAAUUCUUUAAAAAAAUUAAAAAAUUAAAAUCUUACUGUUCAAAAACUUUUGACUGGUAGUGUAUGUAAAAAAAAGUUAUAUGUAUGUGUUAUAUGUAUGUAUGAAGUUAUAUAUAAAUAAAUUUAAAUAUAUAUAAACAUACCCACAAAUACAAAUAAACAUACUAGUCGGAACUAUAUACACACGUCUUACCACCUUUAAAAAUAAGCAAUCGAAAAUAGACGCUGUGCUGCCUCUUCUCAAGUAUGCACAUAAUACAAGCAUAUUCUAUGCACUCUGACAUUAUGCUUUCAUAAUGGCCCUCGGUGGGCCGGAUCAAUAGCUGUGGAUCAGUCCCGGUUAAUUGAGCUUAUCUGCUCUACAAUGUGCUCAUUGACAGAAAUGUGAUCCAUGCACCGAGGAAUAGCAGCCAUUUCUUUGAAAGCAGCGAGGUCAGCCGGGUCUGCUGUGACUGGCCCACUCAAACUUUUCCCCAAGGCAAAUAUGAGUAACAGAGUUCUGUAUGUACUAUGAUAUCCAUGAGAUGUCUUUAGAUUAUGCUGCUACAACAGCAGGGUAAUGCGAGAGCCUGGAAGUUCAUGGAGGCCAGACAAGCAGAGAGAGAGAAGGUGGGAGUCAUUGCUCUUGUUAUACUUUAGUAAUGUUCUUAGCUUUACAAGUCGUACUUUUGAAACGUCACCAUGGUAUUAUAAUUUUUGGUGUUUUCUUCAGAGUAUAGUGUGAAUUGUACAUGGGUCAAAGACAAGAUGUCCAAUUUUGGUCUUUGCAUCAAAUUACAUGUACAGUUUUGUUGCAAACAAGAGUCUUACCUGAAAUGCAACAAAAGAUAUUGCUGGACAACAGUUAUUAGGUGAAACCGCAUACUGUCUAGUUAGGUACUACAUUUGAUGAGGAAGAUACAGUACUUUGCAACUGUUAAAAAGUCUGUUCUAUAUUGUAUGAAUGUGUGUGGUAUUGAAAUCUGGAUGUACUACAUUCGCUAUGUUGUCAUUGUCACAUAACUUACCAGCGUCAGUUGAUUCAUUUUACUAUUAGUCACAACUCCUCUCCUGUGGCCUCAUGAUCGUAAAGUCCCAUCAGAUGCACACUUUGGAAUUGGAAAACCUACUGUUUUAUGAAUACUGGGAAUGUGGACAUACUACAUGCUGUUUUCACCUACUAUAUAGUAGGGAAGUAUGCUUAUUGGUAUGCAGGGGAUUGCCUUUUGUAGUAAACUUUUAAGCUUAAUAAUGUCAAUUGCUGCUUUUCCACCGAAAUUACUUUUCCCCCAGACCUGUUGCUGUCUGCGUUUCCAUCGUGGUCUAAAGUAGCGAGAAAUUUAGGCAAAUAGUCUGGUGACAUAGGUCUGUGCGCAUUUCUAACGAAAUACGCAAAUUUCGGACUUGCGUCCUUGGUAGUUUGGACUUCGCGAGUUCGACUCAGGAGUGUGAACUCCUGUGGACGGGAUGACACAAGUCCGGUAAUUCUGCAAAGAGCGGCGUAUGAGAUAACAUCAGCCAGCUCACCUUGGCUACUGCAAUUUCCCUCACUGUAUUUACAAUAGGAUGAAAUAUGAUAUCAAACACCACUGCCUCUUUUCGGUUUCAUUUAAACAUAUUAAUAGCUGCGGAAAUGUAGUACAGGGAACGUACAUAGCCUAAAUUACAAUGAAACGAAAUAUUAUAUCAAAUAGUAUUGCUGCUUUUCAUUUUAGCAUAUUAAUAGAAUUCAGACCAAAGAUUACCUGUUCGAUUUACCCCAAACUAAUUAUCUCUCAUGUUUAACCACUAGAGUCAGUGGUUAAAGAGUCAGAAGGACUAGCCGAGGUGAGGCUGCUCUCAUCGGAAUACAUGAGCACUGAGAGCCCGCUGAUCGCGUGGAGCUCACGUCUCCGAAAUCGGCAAAGCACAUUUUUAAAUAGGAGCUGUCUUUAUAAAUAAACCGCAGAUUUGAGUUUUAAACAACUACAUUCUCACCUGAAACUACAUUUCAUGACACAAUAACAGUAAUGUUUUUAAAAAAUGUGUGAAUAUAUGGCGGUUGAACUACAAUGCUGCGUGAACUCAACCAAUCAGCAUGCUCAGUGCCCAAGUCCCACCCCUGAAAGUUCCGGGCCUUUAAAAAAAAAGUACUACCUCGCAAGCAGGGACUUUCUGAGGGGCAAAUUUGUACACGGAACUUUAUUUAGAUCCUGGUUCCAACAGUGGAAACACACCGAGUACCAGCCUCCCUAGUCCAUAGUUCCUGGGUAAAGUUAUUGAGGUGGAAACGGGGCUAUUGUUUUAUGACAAAGGCAUACAUCAACACCACAAAUUUGACAAGAAUAAAACAAAAUUCCCUUACUUUUCAGAAUUCUAAUCAAAUAGUCUUAAAGUUACUACUUUCUGUGGUGAUGGCAAAAGUACAUACUUGACUGGGACAUUAUGCUAGUAUUGGGACAAUACCAUUACAUUUUCAUCUUGAUAUUGCAAACAUCAGUGUCUAGCAUUUACUUUUAGAUUAAUUUAUUUAUUCGCCUUUAGAAGAUUAUUAUAGUGUAAAGUGGACAGGAAGACAAGCGAGAGAGAUGGGGGGGACAGCAGUCAGGGUUUGAUUUGACAUACUAGGACAGAUUCAUACUGUCAUAUCAUCAGAUUUUCACUACAUGACUUAAACACAAGUGUAGGGAAGUGGAAAGAGAGUUUAUAACCAUAACUUGUACAAAAGUGUAUAAAAAGAACUUUUGAAAAGAGCUGUCAAUUGGCACAGCUAACACCCUGUAAUUUUUUUUUUUACAGGAUCCAAAAUAACUCCUACACUGGCAAACAAACUUUUUCGGCUGAAGGCACCUGACUAUGCCAAGGACAGGCACCACAGAAGCUACAGACCUCCGUCUGCCUGAUCAACAGCAGCACCUUGGAGGCGAGACUAGCCCAUGAGGACAUCUUUGAGCCAAUCAGAUGUGGUUAUCAGUUAGUAAGAUACGAGGGAGUAAUUAUAUCAUUCAUGCUGAUAGAGUGCAAGUAAUUAUGCAAUUACGCUCAAGAACAGGUUGCUGUAAGUGCCACCCAUAGUAAUGUUUUCCAUGUUAAAUUCCAAGAUGUUACAAUGAGGAAGAAAAGAUCUGAGAAUGCAUUUUGUGGCUUGAAAAUUCAUUUUAGCAGAGAAACACUCGAGAGCUCUCAAGGAAAAAGUCAUUAACAAAUAACCAUGACAGCUGCAUGGCUACAGAUCAGCUAGGACCCACGUGUCGCACACAUACACACACAACCAGGUGGUGACUUCAGUUUCUGGGACCAAAAAAUAAAUAAAUCAGUGCAUCUAUUUUGUUGGGUCACCAACAUGACAAGUGGCACCAUGCUUGCUGGUUCAUGACCAAUUGUGAAAGUCAUUAGUCUAAUUAAGGAAGUGCUCAUUAUUCUUUAGCUCUUCAUGACCUAGCUCUCUGAAACUCACACAUUGCCGCCAGCGCAAGAGCCACAUCUGCUUGAUCUGUCCCAGCUGUGUAAUUCCAUGUAUUGCUUUGUCUUGCCAUGUUCGGCAUGCUAUCAGUGCCAUAAAACGAAAUGAAAAUUUACAA